rnacentral:sRNA from 1 species
GCAGGGCGUAGUAGCGGGCGCCUGUAGUCCCAGCUACUGGGCAGGCUGAGGCAGGAGAAUGGCCUGAACCCGGGAGGCAGAGCUUGCAGUGAGCUGAGAUCACGCCACUGCACUCCAGCCUGGGGAACACAGUGAGACUCCGUCUCCAAAAAAAAAAAAAAAAGGGAGUUUCGUUCUUGUUGCCCGGCCUGGAGUGCAAUGGCGUGAUCUCAGCUCACUGCAACCUCCGCCUCCUGGGUUCAAGUGAUUCUCCUGCCUCA